UGCCUAACUGUCCGGUCCGUGACAGAGGGAUCUUGUUAUCUGUGGCUGGAUAGCAUUUGGACAUGACGAAUGUACAUGCUAUGCCAAAGACCAGCCUAUGAUCACAGGUGAUGCAGUGAUUGGUGAUGGCUAUGGUUUUCUUCCCACUGAACUAAACAUGCUAAAACGGAAAAGAAGACAAGAGGACGUGUCAUCCAUGGCAGUGUGUCAUUCUCCCGCUGAUGGUCCACUUUGCAGAGAAAUAUGAGGGGCUCAUUGUACUGGUUAAUGUCUUCCCAGUGGUGAUGUAGAGCUGAUGUGGAGGCAACAGUGCUGCUUCCUUCGUCCUUCCUUUCUUCAAGACCUGCGUUUUUUGUCUUUUGCCAAACUUUAGGCAGUAUCUUAUACAGUAGAAACUAAGCCUAACACUUGAAGCCCCGUAGGCGUUGCUUGACUGACACCAAUCUGACGAGCUUGCUCAGCCGGUGGAAUCUCUUGUAUACAUGAAUAAGCAAACUGGACGUGUUCUUUCUGAACAAUAUUAAUUGUGGCUCACCACAAUGUUGGUGCAUACAGUAGUAGUACGCCAAGUCAGCAUUGUAUGCAAUAGUCAUUAACAGGAAUGAAACACGACAGAAGUUUAUCAUGCACACACCGAGCGUAGCGUUCAAAACUGUUUGUGUUCCCCUCCGCCAGGCAACACCUGUCAUCUGAGCAAAGGUUCUCCCACGUGUAACCCCCAAUUGCGUUGCAGUGCCAUUGUACAAUUACAGCAUCACAUUAUGUCUAACAGUCUUAUUGCUUUAGUACUUUUUUAUUAGAGGUGAUGUAACCCUUUCAUGGGGAAGGCAGUAGAAAAAGUAUUCAUCUAAAUUAUGUUUAUUCAUCAA